rnacentral:rRNA from 1 species
AGCUCCAAUGGCGUAUAUUAAAGUUGCUGCGGUUAAAAAGCUCGUAGUUGGAAUUCUGCUGAGGAAGACUGGUCCGCCCUCUGGGUGAGUAUCUAGUUCGGCCUGGGCAUAUUCUUGGAGAAUGUGGUUGCGCUUGGCUGUGUGGUGCAGUAUCCAGGACCUGUACUUUGAGGAAAUUAGAGUGUUUCAAGCAGGCCCAUGCCUUGUAUAUGUUAGCAUGGAAUACUAUAAUGGGACCCUAGUUCUAUUUUGUUGGUUCCUAGAUCUGAGGUAACGAUUAGUAGGGAUAGUUGGGGGUGUUCGUACUUGACUGUCAGAGGUGAAAUUCUUGGAUUUGUUAAAGACGGACAACUGCGAAAGCAUUUGCCAAGGAUGUUCUCG